AGAACGAACGCUGGCGGCAGGCUUAACACAUGCAAGUCGAGCGCCCCGCAAGGGGAGCGGCAGACGGGUGAGUAACGCGUGGGAACGUACCCCCCGGUUCGGAAUAACUCAGGGAAACUUGAGCUAAUACCGGAUACGGCUGGAAGGCGAAAGAUUCAUCGCCGGGGGAUCGGCCCGCGUCCGAUUAGCUAGUUGGUGUGGUAACGGCGCACCAAGGCGACGAUCGGUAGCUGGUCUGAGAGGAUGAUCAGCCACAUUGGGACUGAGACACGGCCCAAACUCCUACAGGAGGCAGCAGUGGGGAAUAUUGGACAAUGGGCGCAAGCCUGAUCCAGCCAUGCCGCGUGAGUGAUGAAGGCCUUAGGGUUGUAAAGCUCUUUCACCCACGACGAUAAUGACGGUAGUGGGAGAAGAAGCCCCGGAUAACUUCGUGCCAGCAGCCGC
rnacentral:rRNA from 1 species